rnacentral:rRNA from 1 species
ACGAACGCUGGCGGCAUGCCUAACACAUGCAAGUCGAACGAGACCUUCGGGUCUAGUGGCGCACGGGUGCGUAACGCGUGGGAACCUGCCCUUAGGUUCGGAAUAACUCCCCGAAAGGGGUGCUAAUACCGGAUAAUGUCUUCGGACCAAAGAUUUAUCGCCUUUGGAUGGGCCCGCGUUGGAUUAGCUAGUUGGUAGGGUAAAAGCCUACCAAGGCGACGAUCCAUAGCUGGUCUGAGAGGAUGAUCAGCCACACUGGGACUGAGACACGGCCCAGACUCCUACGGGAGGCAGCAGUGGGGAAUAUUGGACAAUGGGCGAAAGACUGAUCCAGCAAUGCCGCGUGAGUGAUGAAGGGCUUAGGGUUGUAAAGCUCUUUUACCCGGGAUGAUAAUGACAGUACCGGGAGAAUAAGCUCCGGCUAACUCCGU